UUGCUCCCAAUUCAGAAGUUCAAUUUUAUUUUAUAUGAAGAUUAAGAAAGCACUAAAAAGACAUUAAUUACUAAGAUGAGUUUGCUCUAGCGGAAAGCAUUACCCAAUGGGUCUGCUCCGGCGAUUUAAUGGAGAAAACAAUUUUGGUAAUUUUUUGAAAUACAUAUUUUGAUAAUUUAUUUACAUUUUUACCUACCAAAUUUUGAUUUUUUUUCGAAUAUAUAUGUGGGUAAAACCGUUAAUUGAUAUGUAUGGUAAAUGUGGAAGCUUAAUUGGAUGAUACCAAGCAAGUUAUAUGAAGGAUGCCUGAGACGGAUUCUGUGUCAUGGAAUUCGGUCAUUACAGGGUGUGCUGCUAAUUAAUGGAAUUCGGUCAUUACAGGGUGUGAAAAGGGAUUUAAUUUCAUGGAAUUCGACGAUUUCAGGAUAUGUGGAUAACUUCAUGUUUGAUGAAGCUUUGGAUAUGUUUUCUGAUUUAAGGAAUUGAACCAGAUUCUUUUACUUUGGGAAGUAUUUUGAUUGCUUGUGCUGAUACGGCGAGGGAAUGAGAUACAUGCUCAUGUCAUUGUUAAGGCCUUGCAUUGUAAUUCAAUUCUUGGUGGAGGUCUUGCGGAAAUGUACUCUAAAUUGCGGGAUCUAUGAGCUGCACAGAUGGCGUUCAAUGAUGUAAUUUGAAUGUGUUAGGUUUUUGCAGGGGAAUUUGAUGUUUUGACAGUGUGUGCAAGGUAGAUCUGGAGUGGAGAGAGAGGGGGAGUGUCAUUUUUUACCCAUUUGAUUUUAUUUAAUUGUGAAUCUUCAAGUGAAGUUAGAGAGUUGAAAAAAAAAGAUAGCAGCUACACUUGCUUGGAGAUAUGCUGGCACUAAUGGAAGCACUCUUGCUACUAAUGACAUGCAUAUCAAUCAGUGUUUCCACAUUGUCAAAUCAAAUUGCUCUUGCAAAUGGAGGAGUAAAGAGUAGUCAGUGUUUCAUGGAAACUUGUGGCUUUUGGUGUUGCUAUGUGUUAUAGCUGGAAUUAGCAGGUUAAGAUGUUAUAUGUGGUCAAUGUUCCCUUUCUUACUGUAAAUGUUCUCUCAUCAAUCUUGGGGAAAUUGCUGCAGAAGGAGUUGGAAACAAAUAACAGUGGGAAUUAUGUUUUGUUGGCUAAUUUGUAUGGUUAUGGACGAAGAUGAUGGUAGGAAUAUGUAAGAACCCCGGAUGUAGUUGGAUUGAGGACAAAGAUGAAGUUCACGGCCUGUGAUAAAUCUCACAAAAAAAGGGAAGAGAUUUGCAGCAAACGCAUCGGUUGAAAGAGAAGAUGAAGUUGCACUAUAUACAAAAGAAAUGUAAAUUCAAGACCAUAUUGCAGUUUAAAUUUCAUCUUCAUGAUUGUCUCAGUAAAGGUGUAUAUUUUUGACCAAACAUGGCUAUUCUAUCCAUCACGCAUGAACAUGUUCAUCAAGUUCAUUCCAAA